rnacentral:misc_RNA from 1 species
AAGUCGUAACAAGGUUUCCGUAGGUGAACCUGCGGAAGGAUCAUUAUCGUGGGGCUUCGGCCCUCUCGAGAUAGAACCCUUGCCUUUUUGAGUACCUUUCGUUUCCUCGGCGGGCUCGCCCGCCAAUGGGGACCACAAUAAACCCUUUGUAAUACCUGUAAUCGUCUGACAAAACAAGCAAAAAUUAAAACUUUCAACAACGGAUCUCUUGGUUCUG